UCUAUUAAUGAAAACAUCAAGAAAGAAUCAAUAUUAGAUUCAACUUAGCAUGUACAUCAUUUAUUAAGCCAAACAGUGUACUGUACUUCAUGAAUAUUUAAGAAUGCUUAGGUGGAAAAUCGAGUGCUAUGAAGCACUGCGCUUAAAUUUUGCUUUUUAGUAAUUAGAAACAACAUGUAAAAUAUGAUGGCAUGAUGUCAAAUGCCAGCACUAAACUAUUCACAUUAGCAACUAGAACAUUCACACAUCUUAUACUAUACAGCAAUGCAGUAAAUAUUCCUAAGGAGAGGAAAUAAGGGGGAAGAAUAAGAAAGCCUCCCCAGAAUUAAGCACAGUCUGAACAAAAUUAAGUGCCCCAUACCUGGAAACUCUUCAGAAUUAGUAAAGAACCCCUACACAACCAAUUUGCCCAAGAGGAUACCUAUUUAUGGUUUUAAAAACAAAGAUUUGGAAGUUGUUCGCUCAUUCCAUUCUGCAGAUUCAGUUUAAAACAACAUCUCAGCCAUAGAAACUAUAACUAUGGAAGGACAAAAAGGAGAAUUAUGUGCUUAUGGUAACGAAGGUGCCACAAAACAAGCCUGUUUUUAUGUAGGCUUUUAACUGAAAUUCUGCGCUCACAGCUGGAGCAUGCAACAUAGGUAAAAUUGGGAAUGAGCCAUUACAUACUACAGAAAACAGACAUGCUGCUGGCACUUCCUCCACAAUGAAAUAAAUCAUUAACAUUUACUUGUUGUGUCCUUUUUUUCCCCUUUAAGUCCUGCUAACUGGCAAGCAGCCAUUACUGGCCAGUAGCUCAUUUGUCUCAGACAGAAAGCGAAUGUACCAGAUCAGGGGGUACAGCCUUGUAUGAACAAGUGUGCCCACAGAUUUAUUUAUUUUCUUUUCAGACUACAGCAAUAGAUGCUGUUAAAGUAACAGGUAUCCAGCUUCAAGACAGACCAUUUAGAGCUCGUGUUAAAAAACAGCACGUGUUCAAGUGUACAGGUAUCUGCAGAACAGGCUACAAGGCAAUGUAGUGUGAACACAGAGGCUAAGAAUCAAAUUCUGGUUUUAAUACACAGCAACCUUAAAAUAUUUCACUUUCAAUAUAAUUCCAAUUAUUUCUGUAAAAACAAAACAAAACAUGAACAUAAGGGAGGAAAAAAUGCAAACAAAAAACGACAUCAACAAAGAAAAACAAAGCUUAGAAUGGAAUGAGCAUCAGUAAUGUAUCAGUGAGAUAGCAGUAAAAGACAGUUUUGUUGGUUGUUAUUAUUAUUAUGUUUAUUAUUUUACCUUUCCCCACACAAAGGUGCAUUCUCACUUCGAAAAUCAUUCAAUUUUACUUUUUCCUGAAUCUGUAGCUAAAGCUUCUCGCUUUAAGGAAAACAAAAUUUAGAUUUAAAAGGACAGUCUGAAACAAGAACGCCGUUACUACUUAUUUCUAAAAGUAAGGGCAGAUUCAAAGUAACUGCAGAUUAUUAUUCUUAGGUGCCACAAACUUUAGACAAAACUUGGCAACUGAUAACACAAGUGAUGCAAGGCUUGCAUGGAAAAUGAGCUGCUAAGAACUUUAAGAUAAGGAACCUGCCUGAAUGGAUAUUGCGUGAGUUUCGGUUGCAGCUGCUGCUUGAAGACCUAAACCCAGUGUCCACCGUGACUGUCAGCCUCCGACAGACUAAACACCCGCCGUCGUCCUUUCCUGCCAGACCUUACUAGAGGAAAACACAGCGAUAUAUCAUACCAAGGCUGUAACAAUGAAACAAGGAAGGGAAACUGGAAUGAAGACAAAGGAUAAAUGUUAGAGCAGCAACAAGAUUAAAAGUGACAAGGACGCAUCCAUAACUGCUGGUAUCUCCAACACGAUUUGAGACCUCUUUUAAAUUUGGGGAAAUACUUCUGCAGCUAGAAGUAUUCAUUCUUUAGAAACAAAUGAACAAAGUUAUUGUUUGCUUACUUAUAUGGAAAGGUACAUAAUGCAGUUUGGACUACUCGUAGUGUUACAGUAUUACAUGGAGGCAGGACUGGUAGGCUUUUAUAUCACCAGAUAUGUACAUGCUAUAAAAACCUUGAGAAAAGCUAUCUAACACAAAUUCUAGUGAUACAGCAUUAUUUGGAUUCCCACUGGCAAUCAAUUACAUGAGUUGCUCUACAGAGCAGAUGACAAUACUUUAGAUCACUCAGUGCUACUGUUCUAAGAAGUGAAACUGAAUUAGUACACUUGGAUUAAAACAAAGGCAAAUACAGCAAUUUAAAAGAUAGCAGCAGUUAAGAUGAUGAUGCUUGGUGCAUAGAAAGUUUCUGAGUAAGAGACUUUCUAGAAACAAAAGUAGUUCCUCACCUCAUUAGAAAAUUACUAGCAUUGGAGAACAGAUCAUACCACCUUUACACUACUGAUCAUAGAGGAAAUAGACAAGGAUGGUUUCAGUAAGACAGCAGCACUGCACUCUCACAUUAUCUCCAUCCUUGAUUAAGCUUCCUCUACUUGGAAUAUAUAAGUUUUAUUUUACAGACUGUUAUCCACCUUAUUCUCUGCAACAAGGGACAGAUUUUUAUAUUUAUUUUAGAUCAUUUACCAUUAAUAUCUGCUAGAAAUAUGAAAUAAGAGUCCAGUGGCAUAGAUAAAUCAGUGCCUUCUAGAGUUCUCAAUAACCAUUGCUGCAAUGUAAACAUUUUCUUAACUGUUAAAGCCAAAUGAAUUUUAAAGCUUUAAGAAACUUAAAAAGUGGCAAACUACAAUACUGAUGACGUUACAUAUCUAUAACUCUACAAGACUUCUAACUUCUUACUAAUCUCUUACUAACUUACUUUGCUUCUUUAUCUUAAUCCUUGGCUUAUAUAAAAAUAAGCACUUGACAGAAGUUCAUGGUUCCAGCAAAUGCAGCCAAAAGGAGACUAUAUUCUAAGCUCAGAAAUUUAAUGGUAAAAUUCUGCCUAGUAAGAGAACAUUUUUACCAUAGGCACAGCAGCACUUCAAAUGGACGUGCUCAUUUAAAAAAAGAUUAGACAUGAAGAAAAACACCUAACAGACCAUUUGCAGAAUCCAGCUGUAUUUUUUCUACCUUGCCCUGGGCUGUCCUUUCUUUAUGGGAUGGGCUCCACUUCUUCAGUUUUAAGGGAACAGAGAACUUGCAAAGGGCUAAGCUUAAUCCCCAGAUAUUGUAAGUGCAGGAGCUGCUAGACUUUAAAAGAAAAAUCUAUGCCAUGAAGUACUGUGACAAUGGCUGGUAAACUCAGGAGUUAUACCAGUUUCUUUUGCAUAAGAUAAUAGAGUUAACACAACUAUUGUCCUCUUACACUAACUGAAAUGUACCCAAUCAAAUGAUUCUGUAUAUGUUCAGUUAUCUUCCUUCUCACACUAAGACAGUAUGAUACUGUUUGAUGCACGGUGGAGCAAGGAAAAUAUUUUCACAAAACAAACAAAAAACCAACAAUCCAUGAUUUUCUGUAAUACAUUUUCAAAAGCUUUUCUUUUUUCUCUUUAACCAUCUGCCUGUCAAUAUAUGCUUUAUCUUGUAACAUCUGUAUUUGUCAACUAACAAAUGUGCAACUUGUCUUUAUUUUGUUCUCAUCUAUCACUAUUCUAUGUAAAAGUCAAUGUAUUAUGCUCUAAAUCUUACUCUAUGUGUAGAUUACAAGUACCAGAUUUUAUACAGCUUAAAUCUGCCAACAAAUACAAUCUUGGGAUGGCAUGAUCUCACAUCUACAGCAGAAACAGCUGUUGUGCUCAUGCAGAAGUGAUAAGUGAGCCUUAGCAUCAACUGUUUGUCAGCCCAUUGCUCUGAAUUAACUGCUUGUGUACAUACAGUAACUGCCUUCUUUGUUACUGCCCUCUGAGUAGAGUUAGCAGUAAAAAAAAAUCCAGGAGCUUUGCUCAGAAUUCCUCCCUGCAGCACACCACUGUAAGUUGAUGACUUGGUGCUGAAACAGCUGAAGCAAAUUCUCGCAUUAAUUUUCACAGACCUUGCUAAGGGUUACAAUGCCCAUAGUAAUAUGGCACAGAACAGUAUCAUUACAACUAGGAUUCUUGAAGCACCUGUCAGUAUCCCUGGAUCCUACACACACACACAAAAAAAAGCUAACAAACAAAAAACCAGAACACAACACACCCCACACCAAAACCAACAUCAUCCAUCAUCCAACACCCAAACACUGUUCUGCAUGAAAUGGCUUUGAACAUGCUACAAUGAAGCCACAAUGUCGAGGUAGCACUAAGUGUUGGUAGCUGAACAAAUGCAGGUAGAAAUCAGGCAUUUCCAAACUGUGAUUAUUAUUACUAUUUAGUUUAGAACAGCAUCCUGUUAUCACUUUUCAAAAUGCAGCAAAACCAAACAAUUUUGAUAUACAAACAACAGCAUAUUAAAUAUAUUUUCCUUUCAUAUCUCUAACAUAUUCUAUUCUCCAAUGAAGUAUUCUCUUCCUAGAUGAGGAAUUACAUCCUCCAGGAUCUACUCAGCUUUUCAUAGAAGUCUUGAAAGCACUUGAAAGACCUCUGUCUGACCUCCGUAGCAUGAACUUACUUAAUCCUUCUCUGAACUAACAUGUUGCUUACUGCAACAGUAAGAAUGUAGAUUUUAAUUUCCAUUUAUUCUACCACAGUUACCUCCUAGUCACUAGAACUCAAAGAUGCCUUUUCAAUUCUGGAUCACAAAGAAUUCAAGUGCAGUAAAGGAAACAAUAGCUGAGACUUUUCACACAGCUGGGGAGAAUUGUGUAGUGAAACACUUUCUGUCUUUAAUGCUUCUCUAUAUUGAGACUUCUGCCAAAUCACAGCGCUUCACUGUGUGAUCUCUACUUACUUAUCCAGGCCCUCCAAAGACCAGAUAACAACAAGUAACAGCUAGCAAAGAAAAUCAAAUAUGAUCCUUCCAAUGUUUUGAAAGAAUUGCAUAUAGAAAAAGAACUCCAAUUUUAUUCUGGAGUUGUACAUAUUGUGGUAAUGUUGUGACUGUGUGUUAGUUUAUCAAAGUAAUCAAUGUUUUUUAAUACAGUGUCUGGAUGCUAGGAUGCUUUAUAAACUAUUUAUAAACUUGAUUAGCAGUUUUUGCUUACCCUUCUCCAGUGGCACUUCCUGCAAGGACAGUCACUUUGGAUAUAUAAUUUACACUGAUCUCCUGACAGCUUUCAGUGAAGCAAAGCUAUUCCAUAACGUAUAAAACGCUAAAUGCCUAGCACUGAUUGCAUCACUUCCUAUAGACUGCACAAGAGUUUACUUUUAUUUUAUAACUCUUAAAUGAAAGCAAAAGAGUGUGUCUUAACUGAAGGAACCAGAACAACCACUUCAGAACGAUCAAUGUCAAAAGUGACUGUCAAGAAAGGGCUGUAUGAAAAUGCCUUGCAAAUCAAGUCACUUCAAUUUUUUUUUAUAUAUAUAUAUUUUUUAAAUAUCCUAAAAGAGUUAGACUCAGCUCAGCUGAAAGUGAAAGCAUUUCAAUAUGCACCCUUCAGAAUUUACUUCUUGCUUAGCCUUCAGCUGGCGGUUCUCCACCUCACGUUCAUUUUGAUUUCAAAACAAACACCAUUACAGGAUUCUUCAUAAACACUACACACACAAAAAGGAACGAAGGCAUUCUAAGGCAACAAGAGAUCCCAGUAUAAACAAUCUCACUGAACUUACUGACCAACUCAGACACGUGCUAGCUACAUUCGUGCAAGUUAUAUUAUCAGUCAAUUCAUACAGUUUCUCCAGAGCCAAUGAAAUAGCCUCUUCAGAUAUGGUGUUCAGCCAAGAGUGUUAUUUAGUAUCCUAAAUAACUACAGCUAUUUGAAAGUGUUUCAUACUUGGCCUCUUGUUAAAAAGUAACAGAAGAAUCAGAUAAACAUACAAAUGCCCAGUUAAAAGAAAAAGCUUCACAUGGAGACAGACUUACCCACUAGGGCAAACAAAUGUCGCUUUGAAUUUAUGCAGAACAAAAGUUCUGUUUAAACAAUGACCAAGAGACCAAAACAUUUCAAAUUGUACGUGCCAGGAGAAAAACAGGGAAUCAUUUAACCAGUAUUUAAGGUUGCCACUGAAAGUAUGUAACUCCUUAUCCAAUAA